rnacentral:rRNA from 1 species
AUGGCAAAGUUAGCAAGAGAGACUGUCGAAGGUGCAAGGACAGUAACCAGGUUAGAUCCCAAGCACUGGUCAAUGGCAUGGUUCAGGUUAGGAUCUAAUUGUGACUCUGUUGAUAACAAUAUUUGUGAAAGUUUCAACAAAUGGAUCGUCGAUGCAAGAUUUUUACCUAUUAUUUCAAUGCUUGAGGCAAUUAGACGAAAGGUUAUGGUUAGGAUUCAAGAAAUGAUUGAAAAAUGUGAGAAAUGGACAUUAGAAAUUGUGUGUCCUACUAUAAAUAAGAAGAUGAACAAGUACAAAGAUUGGUCUGGGACUUGUCAUCCUAUCAGCAAUGGAAAUAAUGUGUUUGAGGUAACCCAAAGGAAAUAUUACAGAUUUGGUGUUGAUCUAAAUAGAAAUAACUGCACUUGUGGUUAUUAG